GAUGAACGCUAGCUACAGGCUUAACAUAUGCAAGUCGCGGGGUAACAUCUGGGAGAGCUUGCUCUUCCAGGAUGACGACCGGCGCACGGGUGAGUAACGCGUAUCCAACCUGGCCCAUACCACGGGAUAGCCCGUCGAAAGGCGGAUUAAUACCGUAUGCUGUCAUUAAGAGGCAUUUUUUGAUGACGAAAGGAUUGGCGGUAUGGGAUGGGGAUGCGUCUGAUUAGCUUGUUGGCGGGGUAAUGGCCCACCAAGGCGACGAUCAGUAGCCGACCUGAGAGGGUGACCGGCCACAUUGGGACUGAGACACGGCCCAAAACUCCUACGGGAGGCAGCAGUGGGGAAUAUUGCACAAUGGAGGAAACUCUGAUGCAGCGACGCCGCGUGAGCGAUGAAGUAUUUCGGUAUGUAAAGCUCUAUCAGCAGGGAAGAUAAUGACGGUACCUGAGUAAGAAGCUCCGGCUAACUACGUGCCAGCAGCCG
rnacentral:rRNA from 1 species